CCGUUCUUGUCAUCAGAAACAAAUGGAACACAAAACCACUUGAAAAUGACAACAAUGUGAAUGAUGGCGCCGACGUCCAGUAUGAAAACGUGGAAGCACGUCCUGCUGCUGCUCGACCGCAGUGAUCAACAACUUCAGAUCAUCAGAAAGUCAAAUAGCAUCAGUCAUUGGACACAUGUAACGAGGGACAACUAAUCACUCAACAAAAUCCUAACUGUUUGCUGUCCUGGCGGUUCUGAAUGGUGGAACGAAGCUCGCCAUUGACAUCAGGACGGCUGAAAGCAUCUUCC